UGACCCGGAAUGGAACUGGGAGCUCCUGGCCUGUAGGACGCUCCACCCCUGACACACGGGGUGGGCCGUGCAGUCCUUUUGCUCUAAGUGCCGGCCCCACAGUGACCUGGGGCCUCCCUGGCUCCCGGCUCCCAGCUGGGUCCUGGCUGCUGGUGAUGCUGAGGAGUGUCUGACCCUGCACAGCGCCCUGAGGAGUUGGACGAAGAGGAGGAAGUGGAGGAGGAGGGGGCGGAGGUCCCCAGCUCUUUCCACCUCUCCCUUCAGACCAGUGAUGAAGAAUAGGGACCUAAACAUGGCAGAAAAUGAGAUAGCAUCUGCCCCGGAGAGGGUGGGUGGGUGGACAGGGCAGGGAGAGCUGCAGUGGGGCCUGUGGGCUGUGCUGCUCCCCGAGCUCAGACGCUCCUGCUGGCCCAGAGCCCAGGUCCCGGUGAGGAUCUGUUCCCGAUUCCUGAGGACCGCAGAAGGACUUCUUCCCACCACUCCCCGCCCUGCCAGGCCCAGCCCAGCCACCUGCACACGCUUAGGGCCGAGCCCAGCCACAUGAACAGGCUUAGGGAAAUUUCCUGGUUUCCUCUCCAAACCCAGUAGAGGCCCCGCCCCACAGCAGGCAGUUUCAUUUCUAAUAGAGUCCAACCCUCGACCAGGGAAGUGGCUGUUCCAGGCGACUCCCUACAGCAAGUGUGUGGCAUUGGUGGUGGUCCAGGUCCAAGCAAGGUCGCUCUGCAACCUGCCUGCCUCCCUCCGCUCCCAGGAGGGCAGGCCUGGCUCUGAGGAGCUGUAGCCCCGGGCCAGGGUCCCUGGGUCCCUCCUUGGCUCUCAGGUUCCUGGGUCCUCCCUGGAGGAACUUGGGGUGCUGUCUUCCCAUUUGCCCACCCUCCCCUCCCUUCAGGGUUCCAAUUGCCUGGAACUUCUCCUGGGAGACAGUCCUGGCUGGAGGGGAGAGGUCACCUGACUGGUCCUCUAGGACCCGCCCUUCUCUGUCCAGACCUGGUCUUUAACUUUAAAAAAAAUAUAUUUUUUUAUUGAUUUCAGAGAGG